CUUUUUCUUUCACCGGGAGCUUGCUCCACCGAAAGAAAAAGAGUGGCGAACGGGUGAGUAACACGUGGGUAACCUGCCCAUCAUAAGGGGAUAACACUUGGAAACAGGUGCUAAUACCGUAUAACACUAUUUUCCGCAUGGAAGAAAGUUGAAAGGCGCUUUUGCGUCACUGAUGGAUGGACCCGCGGUGCAUUAUCUAGUUGGUGAGGUAACGGCUCACCAAGGCAACGAUGCAUAGCCGACCUGAGAGGGUGAUCGGCCACACUGGGACUGAGACACGGCCCAGACUCCUACGGGAGGCAGCAGUAGGGAAUCUUCGGCAAUGGACGAAAGUCUGACCGAGCAACGCCGCGUGAGUGAAGAAGGUUUUCGGAUCGUAAAACUCUGUUGUUAGAGAAGAACAAGGAUGACAGUAAAAUGUUCAUCCCUUGACGGUAUCUAACCUUAAACCCACAGGUAACUACUUGCCAGCAGCCGCGGUAAUACGUAGGUGGCAAGCGUUGUCCGGAUUUAUUGGGCGUAAAUUGAACGCAAGGCUCUUCUUAUUUGUGAUGUGCCAGCCC
rnacentral:rRNA from 1 species